AGCAACUGCUGCAACUGCAGCUGCAGCAGCAGUGCCAGCAGCAGCAGCAGCAGCAGCAGCAGUGCCAGCAGCAGCAGUGCCAGCAGCAGCAGCAGUGCCAGCAGCAGCAGCAGUUCCAGCAGGAGCAGCAACAACAGCAGCAGCAACAGCAGCAGCAGCAGCAGCAGCAGCAGCAGCAGCAGUGCCAGCAGCAGCAGCAGCAGCAGCAGAGGAGAAGGAGAAAAAACAGGAGGAGCAGGAGGAGCGGGAAGAGCAGGAAGAGCAAGAGGACCAGGAGGACCAGGAACACCAGGAGGAGGAGGAGAAGAAAUAAUGAGUGAUUGUGUCUCCGUUUAUGGAAAGAGUUUGAUGGGGUACUAAUGUUGCAUCUUUGAAGAAAUGUGUACUCAAAGAAUUACUCAUGUAGAAUCUCACUGUGCUGCCAUCUGGGACAUCAAGUUCAUUUGUGAACCCAUGCUUCCUCUCAGCAUCAUAAGAAGAUCACUACAGA
rnacentral:lncRNA from 1 species